rnacentral:rRNA from 1 species
GACGAACGCUGGCGGCGUGCCUAACACAUGCAAGUCGAGCGGAGUUUACGCUGUAGUUUACUACGGUGUGAACUUAGCGGCGGACGGGUGAGUAACGCGUGAGCAACCUGCCCUAUACAGGGGGAUAACAUCGGGAAACCGAUGCUAAUACCCCAUGACACCGGGACAUCGCAUGAUGGUCUGGUCAAAGGAGGAAUCCGGUAUAGGAUGGGCUCGCGUCCCAUUAGCUAGUUGGUGAGGUAACGGCUCACCAAGGCGACGAUGGGUAGCCGGCCUGAGAGGGCGACCGGCCACACUGGGACUGAGACACGGCCCAGACUCCUACGGGAGGCAGCAGUGGGGAAUAUUGCACAAUGGGCGAAAGCCUGAUGCAGCGACGCCGCGUGAGGGAUGACGGCCUUCGGUUGUAACCGUCUUUCUAGCAGGGAAGAAGCGCAAGUGACGGUACCUGCAGAAGAAGCACCGGCUAACUACGUGCCAGCAGCCGCGGU